AGAGUUUGAUCCUGGCUCAGGAUGAACGCUGGCGGCGUGCCUAAUACAUGCAAGUCGAACGCACAGCGAAAGGUGCUUGCACCUUUCAAGUGAGUGGCGAACGGGUGAGUAACACGUGGACAACCUGCCUCAAGGCUGGGGAUAACAUUUGGAAACAGAUGCUAAUACCGAAUAAAACUCAGUGUCGCAUGACACAAAGUUAAAGGGCGCUUUGGCGUCACCUAGAGAUGGAUCCGCGGUGCAUUAGUUAGUUGGUGGGGUAAAGGCCUACCAAGACAAUGAUGCAUAGCCGAGUUGAGAGACUGAUCGGCCACAUUGGGACUGAGACACGGCCCAAACUCCUACGGGAGGCUGCAGUAGGGAAUCUUCCACAAUGGGCGAAAGCCUGAUGGAGCGACGCCGCGUGUGUGAUGAAGGCUUUCGGGUCGUAAAGCACUGUUGUAUGGGAAGAACAGCUAGAAUAGGGAAUGAUUUUAGUUUGACGGUACCAUACCAGAAAGGGACGGCUAAAUACGUGCCAGCAGCCGCGGUAAUACGUAUGUCCCGAGCGUUAUCCGGAUUUAUUGGGCGUAAAGCGAGCGCAGACGGUUGAUUAAGUCUGAUGUGAAAGCCCGGAG
rnacentral:rRNA from 1 species